rnacentral:rRNA from 1 species
AGUGAACGCUGGCGGUAGGCCUAACACAUGCAAGUCGAACGGCAGCACAGUAAGAGCUUGCUCUUACGGGUGGCGAGUGGCGGACGGGUGAGGAAUACAUCGGAAUCUACUUUUUCGUGGGGGAUAACGUAGGGAAACUUACGCUAAUACCGCAUACGACCUACGGGUGAAAGCAGGGGAUCUUCGGACCUUGCGCGAUUGAAUGAGCCGAUGUCGGAUUAGCUAGUUGGCGGGGUAAAGGCCCACCAAGGCGACGAUCCAUAGCUGGUCUGAGAGGAUGAUCAGCCACACUGGAACUGAGACACGGGCCAGACUCCUACGGGAGGCAGCAGUGGGGAAUAUGGGACAAGGGGCGCAAGCCUGAUCCAGCCAUACCGCGGGGGUGAAGAAGGCCUUCGGGUUGUAAAGCCCUUUUGUUGGGAAAGAAAAGCAGCAGGUUAAUACCCCGCUGUUCUGACGGUACCCAAAGAAGAAGCACCGGCUAACUUCGU